rnacentral:rRNA from 1 species
ACGGGGCGCAGCAGGCGCGAAACCUCCGCAAUGUGAGAAAUCGCGACGGGGGGAUCCCAAGUGCCAUUCUUAACGGGAUGGCUUUUCUUAAGUGUAAAAAGCUUUUGGAAUAAGAGCUGGGCAAGACCGGUGCCAGCCGCCGCGGUAACACCGGCAGCUCUAGUGGUAGUUGUUUUUAUUGGGCCUAAAGCGUUCGUAGCCGGUUUGAUAAGUCACUGGUGAAAUCCUGUAGCUUAACUGUGGGAAUUGCUGGUGAUACUGUUGAACUUGAGGUCGGGAGAGGUUAGCGGUACUCCCAGGGUAGAGGUGAAAUUCUGUAAUCCUGGGAGGACCACCUGUGGCGAAGGCGGCUAACUGGAACGAACCUGACGGUGAGGGACGAAAGCUAGGGGCGCGAACCGGAUUAGAUACCCGGGUAGUCCUAGCCGUAAACGAUGCGGACUUGGUGUUGGGAUGGCUCUGAGCCGCUCCGGUGCCGAAGGGAAGCUGUUAAGUCCGCCGCCUGGGAAGUACGGUCGCAAGACUGAAACUUAA